rnacentral:rRNA from 1 species
AGUGAACGCUGGCGGUAGGCCUAACACAUGCAAGUCGAACGGCAGCACAGUAAGAGCUUGCUCUUACGGGUGGCGAGUGGCGGACGGGUGAGGAAUACAUCGGAAUCUACUUUUUCGUGGGGGAUAACGUAGGGAAACUUACGCUAAUACCGCAUACGACCUACGGGUGAAAGCAGGGGAUCUUCGGACCUUGCGCGAUUGAAUGAGCCGAUGUCGGGUUAGCUAGUUGGGGGGGUAAAGGCCCACCAAGGCGACGAUCGGUAGCUGGUCUGAGAGGAUGAUCGGCCACACUGGAACUGAGACACGGUCCAGACUCCUGCGGGAGGCAGCAGUGGGGAAUAUUGGACAAUGGGCGCAAGCCUGAUCCAGCCAUACCGCGUGGGUGAAGAAGGCCUUCGGGUUGUAAAGCCCUUUUGUUGGGAAAGAAAAGCAGCAGGUUAAUACCCCGCUGUUCUGACGGUACCCAAAGAAUAAGCACCGGCUAACUUCGUG